rnacentral:rRNA from 1 species
UACGUAGGUGGCGAGCGUUAAUCGGAGUUACUGGGCGUAAAGGGCGCGUAGGCGGUACGACAAGUGAGAUGUGAAAUCCCCGGGCUUAACCCGGGAACUGCAUUUCAAACUGUCGAACUGGAGUACUGUAGAGGGUAGUGGAAUUUCCGGUGUAGCGGUGAAAUGCGUAGAGAUCGGAAGGAACACCAGUGGCGAAGGCGGCUACCUGGACAGAUACUGACGCUGAGGCGCGAGAGCGUGGGGAGCAAACAGGA